rfam:Bacillus sporothermodurans strain B4102 NODE_12, whole genome shotgun sequence.
GGUAUGUUAUUUAACCCCACAAAUAAGCCCCGGAAACUUAUUCGUGAUAAUAAUAAAUACGUA